rnacentral:snRNA from 1 species
AGACUGGAGGCCUAGGAUGUGAGAGUGAUCACCCUGUUGAUCUCCAGGGUUGCAUCAGCUGAUCUGGUUGUCUGGGCAGGUAUCUCCUUCCUCCUUCACUGCUCCAUGUUUGUCCCUCCUGAAGCUAUGUACUCAGUUGAAGAGGAUGACCUUCCCUGAAUAGAGAUGGACCAGUCUUUCAUCGAGGGUAUAUGAGUAGCUGUGAUCCCCUCCUAGAACCUUCAUAAGCUAUCAAGGGAGGGGAUUGGAUACUGAGUUUUGGGCGUGGGAACUUUACCCCUCUUAUCCUAUAGU